GGCGCAUUUAUUUUUACAUUUGUGCAAAACUGUGGUAAUAUUACAUUUUGGAAUUGAUGUAAUAGUGAUUAUUUUUCUAAUUAGUUUUUCUUUUCUUUUCCAGUGUAAUGCAGACAUCUCUCAGAGUGUAUGUUCACUAAGUCUGGUAUGCACAUUGGUGGUUCUACUGUUGAGUUGGAAGAGAGAGCCUCUCUAGUGUAAUGCAGACAUCUCUCAGAGUGUAUGUUCACUAAGUCUGGUAUGCACAUUGGUGGUUCUACUGUUGAGUUGGAAGAGAGAGCCUCUCUAGUGUAAUGCAGACAUCUCUCAGAGUGUAUG